rnacentral:rRNA from 1 species
UACGGAGGGUCCAAGCGUUAUCCGGAAUCAUUGGGUUUAAAGGGUCCGUAGGCGGUUUUGUAAGUCAGUGGUGAAAGCCCAUCGCUCAACGGUGGAACGGCCAUUGAUACUGCAAGACUUGAAUUAUUGGGAAGUAACUAGAAUAUGUAGUGUAGCGGUGAAAUGCUUAGAGAUUACAUGGAAUACCAAUUGCGAAGGCAGGUUACUACCAAUAUAUUGACGCUGAUGGACGAAAGCGUGGGGAGCGGACAGG